rnacentral:rRNA from 1 species
UACGUAGGGUGCGAGCGUUAAUCGGAAUUACUGGGCGUAAAGCGUGCGCAGGCGGUCGUUCAAGUCGCGUGUGAAAGCCCCCGGCUCAACUGGGGAGGGUCACGCGAUACUGAUCGACUCGAAGGCAGGAGAGGGUAGUGGAAUUCCCGGUGUAGUGGUGAAAUGCGUAGAUAUCGGGAGGAACACCUGUGGCGAAGGCGGCAUCCUGGACCGACAUUGACACUGAGGAGCGAAAGCUAGGGGAGCAAACGGG